UACGUAGGGUGCGAGCGUUGUCCGGAAUCAUUGGGCGUAAAGCGCGCGUAGGCGGCCCUGUAAGUCCGCUGUGAAAGUCAAAGGCUCAACCUUUGAAUGCCGGUGGAUACUGCAGGGCUAGAGUCCGGAAGAGGCAAGUGGAAUUCCUGGUGUAGCGGUGGAAUGCGCAGAUAUCAGGAGGAACACCAACGGCGAAGGCAGCUUGCUGGGACGGUACUGACGCUAAGGCGCGAAAGCGUGGGGAGCGAACAGG
rnacentral:rRNA from 1 species